GAUGAACGCUGGCGGCGUGCCUAACACAUGCAAGUCGAGCGAACGGACGAGAAGCUUGCUUUUCGGAUGUUAGCGGCGGACGGGAGAGUAAGACAUGGACAACCUACCUAGAAGAAUGGGAUAAAUUCGGGAAAUCGUAGCUAAUACCGGAUAAUAUUUUGAACCGCAUGGUUCAAAGGCGAAAGACGGUCUUGCUGUCACUUACAGAUGGAGCCGCGCUGGAUUAGCUAGUUGGUAAGGUAACGGCUUACCAAGGCAACGAUGCUUAGCCGACCUGAGAGGAUGACCGGCCACACUGGGACUGAGACACGGUCCAGACUCCUACGGGAGGCAGCAGUAGGGAAUCUUCCGCAAUGGGCGAAAGCCUGAUGGAGCCAUGCCGCGUGAAUGAUGAAGGUCUUCGGAUUGUAAACUGCUUUUGUUAGGGACGAAAAGAUGUUGGUUAAUAUGUGCGCAUCUUGACGGUACCUAAUGAGAAAGCCCCGGCUAACUACGUG
rnacentral:rRNA from 1 species